AAUAUUGGACAAUGGGUGAAAGCCUGACACAGCCAGGCAGCGAGUUUGCAGUAGAUCUUCGGAUUAUAAAGCACUUGACUUAGGGAGGAAUGGUCGUAGAUUAAUACUCUGCCAUUUUGACGUUACCGCCAGAAUAGGCACCGACUAACUUCGUGCCAGCAGCCGCGGUAAUAGGAAGGGUGCAAGCGUUAAUCGGAAUUACUGGGCGUAAAGCGCUCGUAGGUGGUUCGUUAAAUUGGAUGUGAAAGCCCCGGGCUCAACCUGGGAACUGCAUCCCAAACUGGCGAGCUAGAGUACGGUAGAGGGUGGUGGAAUUUCCUGUGUAGCGGUGAAAUGCGUAGAUAUAGGAAGGAACACCAGUGGCGAAGGCGACCACCUGGACUGAUACUGACACUGAGGUGCGAAAGCGUGGGGAGCAAACAGG
rnacentral:rRNA from 1 species